UUUAACUUCCGCAAACUUGAUUUUGAUCUUGAAUGUUUGGGACAUGACUUAGGGUCAAAAUUUCAAGAACACCCAUUCCGAAGUUAUUUGAAUAUAAUUCCUGAAGAGAUAAUAAUCUUAGGUCUUAGCCGGUAUGAUUCUUUUUGCAAAGGGUCUCACACCAUUGAGAGUUUUUUUUAAAACAAUAUGGAAUUCAUCCAUCUAGGCUUUCAUCUUUCGUUGUGGUUGAAGUUUG
rnacentral:misc_RNA from 1 species